rnacentral:lncRNA from 1 species
AUGCAAUACACGGAAUAGCUGUUAAAUCGAAAAAUAACCACAUAUUUCGCUUUAAAGAUUACACCAUAAUUAUUUACUCAUCGAACGUUGACCAUGAGCAAAACGAACAGAAAAUUGAUACCAUAUUUGUAUCAUAAAACCUGUUUUGUUAAACAUACAUAAGAGCAACAACUGUGAUGUCUACAGUAUAUGGCUCAAUAGGUUUUUUUUU